rnacentral:rRNA from 1 species
UACGGAGGGUGCGAGCGUUGUUCGGAAUUACUGGGCGUAAAGCGCGUGCAGGUGGUCUUUUAAGUUCUGUGUGAAAGCCCCCGGCUUAACCGGGGAAUGGCACAGGAAACUGGAAGACUUGAAUACGGGAGAAGAGGGCGGAAUUCCCAGUGUAGAGGUGAAAUUCGUAGAUAUUGGGAGGAACAUCGGUGGCGAAAGCGGCUCUCUAGACCGAUAUUGACACUCAUACGCGAAAGCGUGGGGAGCGAACCGG